ACGGAAGGCAGCAGUGGGGAAUAUUGGACAAUGGAGGCAACUCUGAUCCAGCGACGCCGCGUGAGUGAAGAAGUAUUUCGGUAUGUAAAGCUCUAUCAGCAGGGAAGAAAAUGACGGUACCUGACUAAGAAGCCCCGGCUAACUACGUGCCGGCAGCCGCGGUAAUACGUAGGGGGCAAGCGUUAUCCGGAUUUACUGGGUGUAAAGGGAGCGUAGACGGCAAGGCAAGUCUGAAGUGAAACUCCGGGGCUCAACCCCGGAACUGCUUUGGAAACUGUCUGGCUAGAGUACCGGAGGGGUAAGCGGAAUUCCUAGUGUAGCGGUGAAAUGCGUAGAUAUUAGGAGGAACACCAGUGGCGAAGGCGGCUUACUGGACGGUAACUGACGUUGAGGCUCGAAAGCGUGGGGAGCAAACAGGAUUAGAUACCCUGGUA
rnacentral:rRNA from 1 species